rnacentral:rRNA from 1 species
GUAGGGAAUAUUGCGCAAUGGACGAAAGUCUGACGCAGCGACGCCGCGUGAGUGGUGAAGGCCUUAGGGUCGUAAAGCUCUGUUGAAUGGGAAGAAAAAAAUGACGGUACCAUUCGAGGAAGGACCGGCUAACUUCGUGCCAGCAGCCGCGGUAAUACGAGGGGUCCUAGCGUUGUUCGGAAUCAUUGGGCGUAAAGGGUGUGUAGGUGGCCAUGUAAGUCAGGUGUGAAAGCCCCGGGCUCAACCCGGGAAGUGCACUUGAUACUGCGUGGCUUGAGUACCGAAGAGGGUAGUGGAAUUCCAGGUGUAGUGGUGAAAUACGUAGAUAUCUGGAGGAACACCGGUGGCGAAGGCGGCUACCUGGUCGAGUACUGACACUGAGACACGAAAGCAUGGGGAUCAAACAGGAUUAGAAACCCCUGUAGUCC